rnacentral:rRNA from 1 species
GUUAAAAAGCUCGUAGUUGGAUUUCUGCCGUAGACGAUCGGUCCGCUCUUUGAGCGUGUAUCUGAUUCGGCUAUGGCAUCCUCGUGAGUUGCGUUGCUGUGCUUGAUUGCAUGGUGCGAAGUUCACGACUUUUACUUUGAGGAAAUUAGAGUGUUCACGGCAGGCAAUUGCCCUGAAUAUAUUAGCAUGGAAUAAUAAUAUAGGACUUUGGUCUUAUUUUGUUGGUUUCUAGGACUAAAGUAAUGAUUAAUAGGGAUAAUUGGGGGCAUUUGUAUUAACGCGUCAGAGGUGGAAUUCUUGGAUUGCGUUACGACAAACUACUGCGAAAGCAUUUGCCAAGGAUGUUUUCAUUGAUCAAGAACGAAAGUAUGGGGAUCGAAGAUGAUUAGAUACCGUCGUAGUCUAUACCAUAAACUAUGCCGACUAGAGAUUGGAGGUCGUUCUUUCCAUGACUCCUUCAGCACCUUAUGAGAAAUCAAAGUCUUUGGGUUCCGGGGGGAGUAUGGUCGCAAGGCUGAAACUUAAAGGAAUUGACGGAAGGGCACCACCAGGAGUGGAGCCUGCGGCUUAAUUUGACUCAACACGGGAAAACUCACCAAGUCCAGACAUAGUAAGGAUUGACAGAUUGAUAGCUC